AACGAACGCUGGCGGCAUGCCUAACACAUGCAAGUCGAACGAGACCUUCGGGUCUAGUGGCGCACGGGUGCGUAACGCGUGGGAACCUGCCCUUAGGUUCGGAAUAACUCUCCGAAAGGGGUGCUAAUACCGGAUAAUGUCUUCGGACCAAAGAUUUAUCGCCUUUGGAUGGGCCCGCGUUGGAUUAGCUAGUUGGUAGGGUAAAAGCCUACCAAGGCGACGAUUCAUAGCUGGUUUGAGAGGAUGAUCAGCCACACUGGGACUGAGACACGGCCCAGACUCCUACGGGAGGCAGCAGUGGGGAAUGUUGGACAAUGGGCGAAAGCCUGAUCCAGCAAUGCCGCGUGAGUGAUGAAGGCCUUAGGGUUGUAAAGCUCUUUUACCCGGGAUGAUAAUGACAGUACCGGGAGAAUAAGCUCCGGCUAACUCCGUG
rnacentral:rRNA from 1 species